GAGUUUCGGGAGUCUAACACAUGCAAGUCGAACGGCAGCACAGGAGAGCUUGCUCUCUGGGUGGCGAGUGGCGGACGGGUGAGGAAUACAUCGGAAUCUACCUUUCCGUGGGGGAUAACGUAGGGAAACUUACGCUAAUACCGCAUACGACCUUAGGGUGAAAGCGGAGGACCUUCGGGCUUCGCGCGGAUAGAUGAGCCGAUGUCGGAUUAGCUAGUUGGCGGGGUAAAGGCCCACCAAGGCGACGAUCCGUAGCUGGUCUGAGAGGAUGAUCAGCCACACUGGAACUGAGACACGGUCCAGACUCCUACGGGAGGCAGCAGGGGGAAUAUUGGACAAUUGGCGCAAGCCUGAUCCAGCCAUGCCGCGUGGGUGAAGAGGGCCUUCGGGUUGUAAAGCCCCUUUGUUGGGAAAAAAAAGCAGUCGGUUAAUACCCGAUUGUUCUGACGGUACCCAAAGAAUAAGCACCGGCUAACUUCGUGCCAGCAGCCGGGGUAAAACGAAGGGUGCAAGCGUUACUCGGAAUUACUGGGCGUAAAGCGUGCGUAGGUGGUUGUUUAAGUCCGUUGUGAAAGGGCUGGGCUCAACCUGGGAAUUGCAGUGGAUACUGGGCAACUAGAGUGUGGUAGAGGAUGGCGGAAUUCC
rnacentral:rRNA from 1 species